CUCUCUCACAUCAGAUAUCUUCUCCUGAGACCUCCCGUCCAAGCGACCUGAGCGAAACAGCCGCCCCAUGCCCCCGGCAGCGCCGCCGCUAGGAACCUCAAGCAGGGCCUUUCCCUUCUCUCGAUCUUUCCACACCUAGCUAGGCAGGGGCUCAAUCCUUUCUUUCUGUAUGCUCCCUUUCAUCUCCGCCUCCCUGUCCCUCUGCUCUGUGCCUUUCGAUGGUGAGAGGAAUAUGAGAGGAUGAGGACGGGAGGAUGGGAAGAAGAGUCGAUCUGGAACAAGGACGCCAUGGUCCAUUCGAUCUGGAAAGGAUUGCAUUCUCCAGCCGCCACACAUCAUCAGGAAGUACUGCAUCUGGGCAAAGCAGAGAGCAAAAUUCAGAGUUGUCCCCUAGAGCUGGCCAGCUGAGUGGACCUUCUUACCAGGAAAGGUCGAGGACAUAGAGCCCGUUGACCAACUAAGGUCGCAGGAGACGACACAGGCAGGCAAGCAAGCGUGCAUCCGCCAUUAUCUUUGGAGCUGCUAGAGGGAUCCCAUCAGAUGGGCUGGUUCGCAACGUUUGGCCGAGGAUGCUUAAUGCGUACAAAGGAAUGAAGUAUUUCUGGAAGGAGCUUUUCUCAUGAAGAGAUUUGUUGAAGUCAUAGGCAAACUCUGUCAAUGUAUGUAAGGAGCAUGGUCAGGCCCACUGUUGUGCAUUGAUUGUUUGGGACCCUCUUGCAGUGCCAUGCUUGGUGAUGCAGACAAGAUCAACCAAGAAAUCCUUAAAAAUGCGCAUCCACUGUUCAAUUUAUGCAUAUAGAGGCUCUUCGUAAAAUAGAAGAUGAUACUCUUCAUAUGUUGCCUUCAUGCUUUCCUGAAAAAGUGCCUCAGUGUGGUUCAAUUCAAUAAAAAGAAUGUGCCCUAUCGCAUUUUUUCAGUGCGACGGAACAUUAUCCGAGAGGGUCAGCGCUGGACCAACAUGUGUCUAUACGACUCUGCAGAUUAUGUUACCCUUCGAUAUGAUCCUCCAUGGAGCGAAAUUUAUCUUCAUGGAUCACAAAAAACAGGUUUGAUCUGUACCAAUGGGUUGCUGCUAUGAGUAGUCUCUUUAGAGCUAAGUGUAUGGACUUUGAGACAUUUUUUGCGAAAUGCUGCCUUCUAAGUGCUCGGAGAUUGAUUCCUCAUUUUAGAAAAAUAUCAUCUUACUAUGAUCAUGAUUUUAGUCGUUCUGCUUUAGCAGGGAUUGCAGGUUAUCCGUUUUUGCAAGAAAUGUUAUUUCGUUGCUCAUGUAUUCAUGUGGUUGGGCUCUCUCAAGCAACAGGAAACACACACUUUAGCACGGAAUCGCACAGCUUUCAGCAGUGAUGUCCAACAAGCUAUUAUUGAACCGGGCAAAAUAGGAUAGGGAUGUCAAGUUGCUGAUUUUCUAUCAGGUGAAACAAUUCUUCAUGCAAAUGUAUAUCCAGCUCUAUAUUAUUUUUGUUACAAAAUAUUGAAUGCUCUUUUAAUUUGGUGUUGUCCUUGUGGACGUUCUUUCCAGUAGAUCAUCUCAGCUUUGAAUAAAUAUCUAUUAUGUUCUCCAAGGAAUAAGAGCCAUGUCGCUCGACUUCUCAUGUGUUAUUCCUUUAUUGUUAUUAUCGUAGAGUCUGUAUGUAUGAAGUACGAACCCAGUUUGUUGUUUGGUUUCUCUAAAUAAGAGAAUAUGGUAGCCAUACAUUUUAAAUUACAGACAUGUUAGGCUUAUGGGUUACAAUAUAUAGGUAAAGUGUGUAUCUUUUGUGACAAAUAUUUAUGUCAAUUUUUCCAUUUUUUGUCCAGACUACUCAUCACACUAAAAAAGUGUUGGAAGAGUAAUGCUUCGUAUGGCCGGCAAUCAUGCCCGCCUGAAUUGGGUGCCAUGUUUCCUUGCAAUAAAGUACUUCUUGAUACACUUGAAAAGUGGCUUAUAAAAUUGAAGAAGAGUUUGCUAAAUGAUUUAGAAAGGACUUUGUGUGUUUAGAGUUCAACAUUGAUAGACAACGAUGGAAUGACCAUGAUCACUCUACUUUGCCGCUUCAUCUUGCAGUACAAUAAUGAUAUGCCAAAUUAUUAGCAUUAUGAUUUGGAAUAAAGAAUUUUAGGCACCAUUUAUUUCUUCUUAUGUUAGUAUUUGCAAUAAAGAAUUCCCUGAUUCUUAAGGUAUUUGGAUGAGUAGUUGUUCAAAUUGUAUGGUCCUUUCAUUUCUCGAAUUAUCUUUUCCUUGCAUUAUACUUUAGAAUAAAUAGCUCUUACAUUUUAUGUUUUUUUUGCCAAAUGGAUCCUCCUACUAUAUAUGCUUGUCUUAUUUGAAACAUCUACAUCGGUUAUCUGGUUGUGUACAAAUUUGUAAUGAUAGUUCUCUUUAUGGUGCAUAUUUAAUUUAGUCCAGUUUAGUCCUCACAUAUGUUCAUGUUCUGGUUCAUUAGAUUUGAUGGAGACUAAUGCCGUUGCGACCGUAAGUGUCGAUGAUUUCUAUACAUGCACUGAACCAACUAAAGCUAACAUUCAUUGUGUAGUUUCUUCCUAGAUAAAAAUAAAGUGCGCUCAUCUUUGUAUAUUUUUUAUAUAGUUAUAAGUUUGUAAUGUAUGUCCAUAAACAAGUGGGGCCAAAUGGCUCACCAAACAUUAUUUGUUGUGUCUUGGACUGUUAUUUAUACAGAAUGUUCGUUUGUGUUGAUCUAAACAGAAAGGUCACGGUUGUAUUUUGGUUCCAUAUAUGUAGUAUUUCCACAUCUUUUUUCCUUUACAUAUAUACAUGGCGCAAGUAUUGGGAGUACACCAAAGGUUGAGGAGCUCACCCAUCCAGUGAAAGCAUUGCAACUUUCCACAUUAAUCCAUAUACUCCAUCCUUUAAUUGUAUUGUUGAUGUCACUUAUACAUGU